rnacentral:rRNA from 1 species
UACAGAGGGUGCAAACGUUGCUCGGAAUGAUUGGGCGUAAAGGGCGCGCAGGCGGUCUGGUAAGUUUGGAGUGACAGUUCUCGGCUUAACUGAGCAAGGCCUUCGAAAACUGUCAGACUUGAGCACUCAAGAGGGACAUAGAAUUCCGGGUGGAGUGGUGAAAUGCGUAGAUAUCCGGAGGAAUACCAAAGGCGAAGGCAGUGUCCUGGGGAGUGUCUGACGCUCAGGCGCGAAAGCUAGGGGAGCGAACAGG